GCCUAGCCCUGAUAGAAGUGGAAAUCCUUUAUUUUUUUUCUUUAAAAAAAUAAAGAUUGAAACGGAUAGCAGGAACCAGC
rnacentral:sRNA from 1 species